rnacentral:rRNA from 1 species
GCACGUGAUGGUGGGAACUCAUAGGAGACUGCCGGGGUCAACUCGGAGGAAGGUGGGGAUGACGUCAAAUCAUCAUGCCCUUUAUGUCUUGGGCUUCACGCAUGCUACAAUGGCUGGUACAGAGAGAGGCGAACCCGUGAGGGCAAGCGAAUCCCUUAAAGCCAGUCUCAGUUCGGAUCGUAGUCUGCAAUUCGACUACGUGAAGUCGGAGUCGCUAGUAAUCGCAGAUCAGCAACGCUGCGGUGAAUACGUUCCC